CCCCUGGGAGUGGUGGGGAAGAACUGGCUGGCCCCUGGGUAUGGCCAGGGCUGCCCCCCCUCCCCAAAGUUCGAGAUCUGCAAGCCCCUGAAUCCAGCUUUGUUUUUUGGUGGGGUGUGCCUCGAGAAGGGAGGGGUAGCCAGAAACAGGCAGUGCCCAGAAGGCCUCUCAGGGCCAGGUGGGCAUGGCAGGUGUCCAAGGAGUGAUGUCUCUGAACAGCAUGAUGGGGGACAUGGGGUGCCUAACCACCCUGGGCAGGCAGAGUUGCUGACACGGAAACAGACCUCUUGGCUCCAGACUACCUCAUGGGAAUCUUGUUGUGUUGCCGUGGACUGAGUCAAGGCAUUUGCGGGUCAGGCCAAGCUCUGUCACGACAGUGUGGCUGGAUACAUUGCAGGGCAGAGACACUCCUGGUGCCCAGGGAAGGCUGACAGGGACGGCAGGGUGGGAAUGUCACAAAGCACACAGACCUUCCUGGGGAAGACCGUGUGCCCUCAGGCUCACGGAAGCUUCUGGAAAAAGAAAAAGACGGACAGUGGGGGUCCGGGUUCCAGCUCCACAAAGUAGUGGCCUCUAGUUAGGGAGCCCAUAGCCCAAGGGGGACUGCCCCCCCCCUCACAAAUGGAGAGGACAAAUAUCCAUGCUACACACAAGUGGCUUUCAACAGAGAUGUCUUUUGGGCCUCAGAAACACGGUGAAAACUGUCCUGUGAGCAGGACCACUGAGGCCAGAACGACCAGUGUGGGAGUAGGAGACCCCAAGCACGGCUGCGGUGGGGGCCUGAGCUCUGCUUGUGAAAGACUUCGGAGCAUCGUCAGGAAGCGAAGACAGCUGCCCAGGCCUGCUGUUCCCUGUUGGGGUUCCUAGAAACAAGAAAACAUCGCUGUGGACGGUGGGCACUGGGCAAGUGUGGCAGGGGCAGGCCGUGCAAGGCCUUGAGGCCUCAGCAAGAUGAGCUGCUCCCAUUUGCUGUGUCUCAACAGAGCUUUGGUCCUGGAGAAUUGGGUGUGUGGGUGGAUGGGGGGAACCACAGGUCUGUGGUGGCUGCAGGCUACGGCCAAAGGGCAGAGAGACCAGGACCCUGAUUCCAGAGCCAGGUGUUGAGGAGGGCGAUUGUGCCUGUGGUAUAUAUGUUGAUUAACAGCUCUGGGGGCAUCUCGGACUUGCUUGCAGCCAUUUGAGGUGGGCAAGCUUGUCUGUGUCCAGGCCGGCCGACAAGGACCUUAUUUGCACUGGGAGAGAGCAAACAGAGCCUUUUCGUUCCUGCUUCCUUGAGGACUGGAAGGUCUCAUCUGUCCUGAAGCGGCUCUGGCUUUGGGGGUGGAUCCAGCAAAGCCUGGGCUGCUGGGAUCCUUGAGGGCCUGGCAGGCCUGGCGGAGCCACUCUCCGUCUGUCUCUUGAAACUUCAGCCCUGGCACACUCAGGACUCCUCGCAGGUGACAUCAGACAAGCCCCUUGGGCUGGGGCAAGGUCUGAGCCAUGAGUUCAGAAACUUCGCGAGCAUGAGAUCACGUUUGACUGUUGGCGUGUUUGUGUUGGCGUCUGAACGCUCUGGUUUGUGCUGUGGUACGAGGACAAAAAGCAGUAAAGGAUUUGAAAGCAUGUCCUCCUGUUUUGUGUCUCCUAUCCUUCGGCCACCCCUCUUCUGGCCUGCGCGUCUUUGGGCUCUGGGCCUGCUGGGAACUCCAGAGGCUCCUGGGGGUCCUGGCAUACCAUCAGACCUUCCCCUUUGCCAUGGUCCCCUCAACACUGCUAUAGAUUGUGUCUCAGGUUGGCCGAGCGUCCCUUGGCCCAUGAGAGCAGAUCCCAGUCCUGCCCCCAGCCUUCCUGGAGGAGAUGCCUGGAGCAGGAAGGAUGAAGGAGCUCAGAGUCUGGAAUCUCCUGUGGGGGGUCCCAUGAGGCUCCUGGGCCAGGCCCUGAGUUCCCUUCUGCCUGCAGGAAACGCCCCGGCAGGACUGUGUACGCCCAGAUGUACAACGAGAAGGAGCAGGAGAUGACCAGCCCCGUGGGACACCCCCCGGGCACACAGAGCGGCAGCCAGGGCGAAGAGUUCAUAGACGACGACCUGGACUCGCAGACUCUAGGGAACCACUCAGGCGUGGUGCUGAGUAUCAAUUCCCGAGAGAUGCACAGUUACCUGGUGAGCUGAUGCCCGCUGUCUCGCUUCCGGGCCCUGCCCACGCCAGGACACGCCCUCCAGAAGUGGCCCCACGACUGCUGCCGCCGAAGCCCCCUCUGCUCAGUGCAGCCUCUCCAGCCCACAGGCUCGGGGGCUGCCCGGCCCCUCUCUCUGGGCACUGCAGACCCUUGGGGACCCCACGUGUCCUGUGGCUUCUCCACACUCCGACGUCCCGGCCCAGGGGUCACUGCUCAUGGCCAGGUCCCACGGUUUGGGGGUGAGCCCCAGACUCAUAGAGACCCAGCCCCCUGCACUAUAUCCUGAGUCGUCCCAGGUUGCCUCUACCCCCAGGAGCCCUCUAGCCCCGUGCCCCCCUAAACUGCCGGCAGUGCUUCAUCUUCUCAAUAGGGGGAGCGGCCACAGGAAGCCCAGCCCGGAACUCUGCGGACCCCAAAGCCCCAAGUGAGGGGCUCUAUCCAGCCACACAUAGUGGCUGGUGUGGGGCUCUGUUUACACCACCUGGAGUCAGGGCCACUGCCCAGUCCACACCUGGGAAGGGGGGUGUUCACCUUCUUUGCCUUGAAACAGGAACUUGGAAGUGGCCUGCCCAUGCACACCCCCUGGCCUGCCCAGGUAGGGUUCUGGGAGGCCUUUUCUGCAGGAAGCUGCGAAACCUGCCCAGGGGCCAGCAGAGGGCCCUGCUGGCUGCUAGUAAGACUUUGAAGACAGACCGCCACCUCCCAGGGGUCACCAGGGACCUCCCCGUUCCCACCGCAUGCCCACUGCAGGGUCCCCCAAAUUGUCCUCAAGAUCUUCCUGGGGGCGCACAGCCCCACCCCACCUCCUGGCCUGUCCCUCUGACACAGUGUCACUGUGGACAUCACAGCCUGGUGCCCCAGUCCCCCACUUCUGCUGGGGUGCUCGUAGUUAUUGGUGUUUCUGUGUGUUGAGGGACAGGGGUGCACUGGGCUGACUGCAAUGACACCGAUGGACAGGUGUUGCCCUGCAGUGGGGUUGGCCUCACCCUCUUGGCAGCCCAAAGACCUGCCUUCUUAGUUUUCCUUUUUAAGGACCAAUAAACCAUUUGUGAUGCUUUUAACAAAGAUUAAA